AAUAAUUAAAUACCUAAAUAUUACUCGUCUUCCCCGAUUCUUCUUUUCCCAUUUCCCCGAUUCCUCCCUCAUCUCGUGACAUUUCCUCUUCUCCCUCACGCACUGUCCUCUCCUGAUUGUUGAUCGCGCCGGUGCCAUUCGACUCGCUGCCGGCCGAACCUCCCUCCUCCCUCUCCUUCUCGAGGCGCGGAGUCUUUCCAUCUUCUUCGUGAUUCAUCGCCGCCCUCUUGCGGUCUCGAUCCAUCGUCGAUCGCCAUCGUGCUUCGCCUCUCCAUCGCCCUCUGUGGAUUUUCUCCGAUCCCGCCGCACUGCCUGACCGUGGGUCGUCGCUGCCCGAUUGUCGAUGUCCGGAGCCUUAGCUGUUCUUACAUUGUCUCUGCCCAACACCGAUGGACAUUGCCUGCGUUGCCUUCCGCUAUCGAUCUCCACAGUCGAUGUUUCCCCUAACCGCCAUCGAACCUUCCUUUCCUUCUCCAAGUAGCCAGCUCUUGCACAGGCCAAACUUCGGCCAAGAGCAAGGGGGUGCUGUUGAUCUCUCCCAUCUCUACGACAUCAUCAUCUUUGGAGAAAGGAAGCUGCUAGUCUUUCUUUCGCAACCUGAUCGCGGUGCCCUGGUGCUGUUGCCUCUGCCCUAGUUCGGCACCACACCAUCAUUUGUACUUCACCAGGGAGGAAGCUACGGAUCUUUUUUGGGCAUGUAAAGGACUUAUGGAGUCGCUUGGAGAACCUGUCUGCCAGUCCCACGUCACAUCUGAGGUCGAUCUUCUGGUUUUGGUUUCCUUUGCUAUUUGUGUUUUGGUUUUGUGAUCUUUAUAUUGUAAUAAUUCGAUGUCGACUUGGAGUUUUGUCUUGUGGUAUCUUGUAUUGGUUUGAUAAUGCUGUGUCAAGCCGAGCUAACUCACAGUUAGUUGUUUGGUUUGUUCUAUGUUUGUUGUUUUGUGAUUUUCGCUAUGUUUAUGUUACAACCGUGUGAGUUGUCUAUUAAA